GGAAAUUUCAUAAAAACAAACAAAAGGCCAGCUCCGACGUAAUUUCCACGUUCAGCGGUUAAAUUUGGACUACUCUUUCUCUCCUCUCUACCCGCGCUCUCUCUCUUACCAGCCUCGGCCUCGUCGGAGCCAACCAGAGACGCAGCUUAAUUUCGGCACCCGGAGAUACGAAAGCACAUACCUUGGAUAUUCUCAUUAUCCGAUCCUAAAUUCUGAAUUUCCGUGAAUCGAAGAGUUUGGUUUUGUCAUUUUUGUGGGAAAUGAGCUUAGAGAGAUAACAAUGAAGAAGGUGUCGAGAAAGGUAGGGAAGUAUGAGGUUGGGCGAACCAUCGGCGAAGGAACAUUCGCCAAGGUUAAGUUUGCCAGGAACAUCGAAACCGGUGAAAGUGUGGCCAUGAAGAUUUUGGCCAAAAGCACCAUUCUCAAGCACAGAAUGGUUGAUCAGAUUAAAAGAGAGAUAUCCAUAAUGAAGAUUGUCAGGCAUCCUAAUAUAGUACGGUUGCAUGAGGUUUUGGCGGGCCGGACGAAAAUAUUUAUAAUUCUCGAGUUUGUAACUGGAGGAGAAUUGUUUGAUAAAAUUGUUCACCAAGGAAAGCUUCCUGAAUAUGAAUCAAGGAAAUACUUUCAACAGCUCAUAGAUGCAGUUGCCCAUUGUCAUAGUAAGGGUGUGUUCCACAGAGACCUGAAGCCCGAGAAUCUUCUCCUUGAUUCUUAUGGAAAUUUGAAGGUUUCUGAUUUUGGACUAAGUGCAUUGCCUGAACAAGGAGUUGGUCUUCUUCACACUACGUGUGGAACCCCAAACUAUGUUGCGCCUGAGGUGCUGGGGGACCAAGGUUAUGAUGGCGCAGCUGCUGAUGUUUGGUCAUGUGGGGUCAUCCUAUAUGUUCUAAUGGCUGGAUAUCUCCCAUUUGAUGAGACAAACCUUCCUACCCUAUAUAGAAAGAUUAAUGCAGCAGAGUUUUCCUGUCCAUAUUGGUUUUCUCCUGAGGCAAAUUCUCUGAUACAUAAGAUACUUGAUCCUAAUCCUAAAACUGUGAGUAUUUUAUUUCAACAUAUGCAGAUAUUAGUAAUUUCCGAGACAAUUGAUUUAAAGAUCUAUACGGUUAACUUCACAUAGUAUUUUCAUGAUCAAAUAAAUAUAAAGUAUUUGUUCACUAUCGGUUUGUCACAGGACCAAUAUGUAGCAGAGAGAUCAGAAAGUAAGGACGGCGGUCCAUUAUUAAUGAACGCAUUUGAGAUGAUUACCCUAUCCCAAGGGCUAAAUCUAUCAGCAUUGUUUGACAGGAGACAGGAUUACAUAAACCGGCAAACUCGAUUUGUUUCCCGAAAACCAGCUAAAGUUAUAAUUUCAAAUGUAGAAGCUGUUGCAGAAUCAAUGAGUCUGAAGGUCCAUACACGUAAUUACAAGACAAGACUAGAAGGAAUAUCUUCAAAUAAGGCCGGACAAUUUGCAGUUGUCCUCGAGGUUUAUGAAGUUGCACCAUCCCUUUUCAUGGUGGAUGUUCGAAAGGCUGCAGGAGAUACUCUUGAAUAUCAUAAGUUUUACAAAAAUUUCUGUGCCAAAUUAAAAGACAUUAUUUGGAAACCAAAGGAGGGUAUGGCUAGUUCCAAUCUGCUUCAAACAAUGACUUGCUGAUCCAUUUCCUUGGGGUGUGAUGCAAAUCAGUAAGCAGCAUUCUAGUGUGUUCUCCGUUGGGACAUGUACUGAAAAUAGACAGCAUACUAGUGUGUUCCCCGUAUGUCGUAGUCUUUUGUAUAUAUAUAUUUUUUUGUCAGUUUUGGUUUCAAUAUUGUUACGCCUACAAUCAUGAAAAGAAAAUCUAGUAAUUUUCCAUCUAAAGAUGUCACCGUGUAUUUAGUGUGUUGGAAAUGAUCCUCCCAAUGUAUAAUCAUGAAGAUUGUUUAUUUUAUCCACCAGUGUAGCGGUUUCUUUAUGGUUC